rnacentral:lncRNA from 1 species
UUCGAUAUAAAUGAUAGCUGAAUUGAAAUCCUGCAGUUGUAAUUAUAAGUAAUACUUCCUUCAACUGUCAGCUAAUGAUCAGCUAGUAUGAAUGGUCAACUUCUUGGCGACUAAACGGAUUCCGGCAUUUUGUUGGUAAUUGUAUGGAUCUAAAGAGAAGUAAGCAUCCACCAAGGAACCUGGAAGUAACAACGAAUUAAGUUCCGCCACACUGGAAACAAGGUGUUGUGUGCAUGGAAUUGAUGAUGAAUUCUUGUAGUAAAUCUCAGUAGUAUUCCAUCUGGUAGUAUCUUCUGCUACAGG